rnacentral:lncRNA from 1 species
UGACAUUUCUUAUACCUGAACGUAAAAUGCAGUGGCAUUACAAUUAUUCAAAUUAUCAUGGUGGCAUGGGAUAAAGGUGGAUAGCAAGCAUCAGGAAAUCAAAUGUCUGGUGACAACAGCAAUUUCACAGGUGAUGGAGCCAGCUGGUUUCUUCAGAAGAUUUUAAAGAGCAUACAUGGAGAAAAGAAGAAAUUGAAAACCGUGAAUGUCCCACUGAGAAGAACAAAGUGGACAAUCAGCAAGAUUUAAUGGCAGAAAGAGUCCCUCAUUUCCUGCAGGGCAGAAAUAACUGAAAACUAAAUCCAGUGCCUGCUGGCUGGAGACGACAGUGAGGGUGCUGCAGUGGAAUUGGGUUCCCAGCUCUG